AUGUGUAGGCCCUUCCGGCGCCCUUCCGGCGCCCUUCCGGCGCCGACAGAGAUGGCCGCCUCGCUUCGCGUUCCUAGGAAACUACGCAGUUUUUUGUUUUUUUACAUGUUAUUUCUUACAUUAGUACCCCAGGUCAUCUUAGGUUUCAUUACAUGCAGUCGAGAAGAACUACUGAAUAUAAGAUCAGCAUCAACUCACCAUCAGUACUACCAAGAAUAUGUUUUUCGCGACGCGGAUCCUGUGUUCUGCGUUACAAACAGGACAACUGAGUGGAUUCCAUGCAGCGACCCAAAAAAAAAACAACUCAGAAAAAGAGGGAAACGAGGCGGUCUUCUGGUCAGACUCCGGAGACGGGCACACCGUGCACCACUCCCUAGCAUUCUUCUUGCCAAUGUCCAGUCUCUUGACAACAAGGUUGAUGAAAUCCGAGCAAGGGUAGCAUUCCAGAGGGACAUCAGAGACUGUAAUGUUCUUUGCUUCACGGAAACGUGGCUCACUGGAGAGACUCUAUCCGAAGCGGUGCAGCCAACGGUUUUCUCCACACAUCGCGCAGACAGAAACAAACAUCUUUCUGGUAAAAAGAGGGGCGGGGGUGUAUGCCUUAUGACUAACGUGACAUGGUGUGAUGAAAGAAACAUACAGGAACUCAAAUCCUUCUGUUCACCUGAUUUAGAAUUCCUCACAAUCAAAUGUAGACCGCAUUAUCUACCAAGAGAAUUCUCUUCGAUUAUAAUCACAGCCGUAUAUAUCCCCCCCCAAGCAGACACAUCGAUGGCUCUGAACGAACUUUAUUUAACUCUUUGCAAACUGGAAACCAUUCAUCCGGAGGCUGCAUUCAUUGUAGCUGGGGAUUUUAACAAGGCUAAUCUGAAAACAAGACUCCCUAAAUUUUAUCAGCAUAUCGAUUGCGCAACCAGGGGUGGAAAGACCUUGGAUCAUUGUUACUCUAACUUCCGCGACGCAUAUAAGGCCCUGCCCCGCCCCCUUUCGGAAAAGCUGACCACGACUCCAUUUUGUUGA
rnacentral:lncRNA from 1 species